GAUAAGAAGUGUGAGAAUACUUACAAGGGGAGAUAGAGUCAACGUUUGUAAUGGCUCAGCCAUUCCCAGUCCUUAUUCAAUCCUAAAUUGAUUGUAUCUAGUUUGCAUAUCAAUUCCAGCUCAGCAGUCUCUCGUUGGAGUCUGUUUUUGAAGUUUUUCUGUUGUAAUAUAGCCACCCGCAGGUCUGACAUUGAAUGGCCAGACAGGUUAAAGUGUUCUCCCACUGGUUUUUGAGUAUUAUGAUUCCUGAUGUCAGAUUUGUGUCCAUUAAUUCUUUUGCGUAGAUCAUAAUACUGUCUGGACCUCCGGCCUGGGCUCCUCGGCCCUUCGCUUGGGACACCCACGAGUCUGAGUCCAAAGUGUUCCCCGCCCGUCCCCGUCUAGUAGCAUCCAUCACAGUCCUGUUCUCACAGACACCUGCACCCAGAAAUCCUCCAACUUCUGCCCAGCCCCGCGGAGCCUCCUGGGGCCUGGAGAGUGACAGAAGCCAAGCGUUAUGACCUAUGGUGUUGGUGUAAAUUUCACCCCCCCACGCACAUACACUCACGUCUCCUGUUGUUUUUAUUCACUCAGCUUCUCCAGCGACGGAGGUGAUCGUAAAUACUGCGACCGCCACCCCACCCCCGACAGCUGCCCAAAGUCCGGCGAUGCCAGGCACCACCUCUGCAGCGCACGCCCCAGGCGAGCCAACUGGAAUCACAGAUACAGCCACUACUGCAGAGACAGUCGUGUUUCUCACUCGUCUUGUGACCAACAGCCCAGAUGAGACACAGCAAACAGUGGGCACCAUUAUCAUAGUGGAAACACUCACACCUGGCCAUGCCGGAGGUGGGCCCACCCAGGCCUCAGUUUCCCUUCUAGGCAUUAGCCCAGCUACGGCCUCUGCAACAGCCGUCAGCACUCCACUAGAAGAGACAGUCGGUGUUUCUGGUCAAGCAGCUCCCACCACAAAUGCAGCAAGUUCCACCCCCAUGGCAGACAUGCCGACAGCUGUCUUCUCGACCCUGGCCCCAGAGGAGACCUGGAGUACGGUGGGCUCCUUCAGUACAGCAGAGCCAUCCAGAGGUGUCCCCAUGACGACCGAGCUAGCUGACAGUACAGCAGCCACGCAUGCCACUGUCACGAGACGCCCAGCAGAGACUGAAACGACGGUGAUCAGCAUCGUACCAGCAGACGCUGCGACAGCCACCCCUGUCAGCACCACCCUUCCCAGUGCCAUAGCAACCUCUGCAACACCCACGGAAACAAGUACCGCAGCAGAGACCACCAGGCCUGCCUCUGUGCCAACUACCCCCAGUGCCACCAUGACGAGAGGGGGUCAGGCUGUAGUAGUACAAACAUUCACCACUGUCUUUUUCUCUAUCCCAGCUGAGCCCUCAACAGCAGAAACCACCGGCACGACUGCAGCAAAACAGACACUGGCAACUGCCUCUGACCCCUCUUUCGUAGUCAGAACCGUAACAGAAUGGGAGACAGCAUCCGGCGAAACUGAAACUACAGUGAGCAUCACAACAGCAGCGGGGAGCACGAUGGCACAGCCUGACCCCAGUGUCUCUGGUGCUCGCCUCUUCCUAUCACUGGGACUGACCACUCGCCUGAACAUCAGCGAGCCCCAGGUCAGGGGUAUGGUUUUGUCUAAGGUGAGCUUGGUGAAAUCUGACAGCUCUCCCAUAGACUGUCAACGCAGACCGCCAAGGGGAUUGCCUUUCAAAGCAACGGUUGAAUCGUUGGGGCUGAAUAGCCACUAGCACUGUAGAAAGAUGCAGAC
ensembl:lncRNA